ACACGACUACAUUAGAUACCCGGGUAGUCCUAGCCGUAAACGAUACUCGCUAGGUGUCGGCCACGGUGCGACCGUUGUCGGUGCCGUAGGGAAGCCGUGAAGCGAGCCACCUGGGAAGUACGGCCGCAAGGCUGAAACUUAAAGGAAUUGGCGGGGGAGCAUAACAACGGGUGGAGCUUGCGGUUUAAUUGGAUUCAACGCCGGAAAUCUUACCGGGACCGACAGCAACAUGAAGGCCAAGCUGAAGACUUUGCCGGAUUAGCUG
rnacentral:rRNA from 1 species